rnacentral:rRNA from 1 species
GAUGAACGCUGGCGGCGUGCCUAAUACAUGCAAGUCGAGCGAAAAGAUGAGGAGCUUGCUCCUCUGACGUUAGCGGCGGACGGGUGAGUAACACGUGGAUACCCUACCUAUAAGACUGGGAUAACUUCGGGACACCGGAGCUAAUACCGGAUAAUAUAUUGCACCGCAUGGUUCAAUAGUGAAAGACGGUUUUGCUGUCACUUAUAGAUGGAUCCGCGCCGCAUUAGCUAGUUGUUAAGGUAACGGCUUACCAAGGCAACGCUGCGUAGCCGACCUGAGAGGGUGAUCGGCGACACGGGAGCGGAGACAGGGUCCAGACUCCUACGGGAGGCAGCAGUAGGGAAUCUUCCGCAGAGGGCGAAAGCCUGACAGAGCAACGCCGCGUGAGUGAUGAAGGUCUUCGGAUCGUAAAACUCUGUUAUGAGGGAAGAACAAAUGUGUAAGUAACUAUGCACGUCUUGACGGUACCUAAUCAGAAAGCCACGGCUAACUACGUG